CCUACGGGGGGCAGCAGUAGGGAAUCUUCCACAAUGGGCGAAAGCCUGAUGGAGCAACGCCGCGUGGGUGAAGAAGGUCUUCGGAUCGUAAAACCCUGUUGUUAUAGAAGAAAGUGCGUGAGAGUAACUGUUCACGUUUCGACGGUAUCUAACCAGAAAGCCACGGCAAACUACGUGCCAGCAGCUGCGGAAAUACGUAGGUGGCAAGUGUUAUCCGGUUUUAUUGGGCGAAAGGGUAACGAAGGGGGUCUUUAAAGUCGGCGGGAAAAGCCCGGGGCUCAACCCAGGCGAGCCGUUGAAACUGGCAGGCUGGAGUUGGGGAGAGGUACGCGGAAUGCGCGGUGUAGCGGUGAAAUGCUUAGAUAUCGCGCAGAACCCCGAUUGCGAAGGCAGCGUACCGGCUCCACACUGACGCUGAGGCACGAAAGCGUGGGUAUCGAACAGGAUUAGAUACCCGAGUAGUC
rnacentral:rRNA from 1 species